CAGCAGCCGCGGGAAUACGGAGGGUGCAAGCGUUAAUCGGAAUUACUGGGCGUAAAGCGUGCGUAGGUGGUGGUUUAAGUCCGUUGUGAAAGCCCUGGGCUCAACCUGGGAAUUGCAGUGGAUACUGGGUCACUAGAGUGUGGUAGAGGAUAGUGGAAUUUCCGGUGUAGCAGUGAAAUGCGUAGAGAUCGGAAGGAACAUCUGUGGCGAAGGCGACUAUCUGGGCCAACACUGACACUGAGGCACGAAAGCGUGGGGAGCAAACAGGACUAGAUACCCCCGUAGUCCCUGUCUCUUAUAC
rnacentral:rRNA from 1 species